ACGAACGCUGGCGGCGUGCUUAACACAUGCAAGUCGAACGGAAAGGCCCUGCUUUUGUGGGGUGCUCGAGUGGCGAACGGGUGAGUAACACGUGAGUAACCUGCCCUUUACUUUGGGAUAAUUUCAGGAAACUGGGGCUAAUACCGGAUAGGAGUUCCUGCUGCAUGGUGGGGGUUGGAAAGUUUCGGCGGUUGGGGAUGGACUCGCGGCUUAUCAGCUUGUUGGUGGGGUAGUGGCUUACCAAGGCUUUGACGGGUAGCCGGCCUGAGAGGGUGACCGGCCACAUUGGGACUGAGAUACGGCCCAGACUCCAACGGGAGGCAGCAGUGGGGAAUAUUGCACAAUGGGCGGAAGCCUGAUGCAGCAACGCCGCGUGCGGGAAGACGGCCUUCGGGUUGUAAACCGCUUUCGCCUGUGACGAAGCGUGAGUGACGGUAAUGGGUAAAGAAGCACCGGCUAACUACGUG
rnacentral:rRNA from 1 species